rnacentral:lncRNA from 1 species
GGAGGAAGUGGACUCUGAAGAGCAAGCAUACUGGGAGGAAGUGCAUGCUGAAGAGGAAGUACACUGGGAGGAAGUACAUGCUGAAGAGCAAGCACACUGGGAGGAAGUGCAUGCUGAAGAGCAAGCACACUGGGAUGAAGUACAUGGUGAAGAGCAAGCACACUGGGAGGAAGUGCACUCUGAAGAGGAAGCACACUGGGAGGAAGUGCAUGGUGAAGAGCAAGCACACUGGGAGGAAGUGCACUCUGAAGAGGAAGCACACUGGGAGGAAGUGCAUGCUGAAGAGGAAGCACACUGGGAGGAAGUGCAUGCUGAAGAGGAAGCACCCCAUGGCAGAAAAUGCUCUUAGAAGAGCAAGCACACCCUUGCUUUUCUAAGCAACUUGUAGCAGGAAGUGCACAUAGUUUUUA